rnacentral:rRNA from 1 species
AUUGAACGCUAGCGGGAUGCCUUACACAUGCAAGUCGAACGGCAGCGCGGACUUCGGUCUGGCGGCGAGUGGCGAACGGGUGAGUAAUGUAUCGGAACGUGCCCAGUAGCGGGGGAUAACUACUCGAAAGAGUAGCUAAUACCGCAUACGCCCUACGGGGGAAAGGGGGGGAUCGCAAGACCUCUCACUAUUGGAGCGGCCGAUAUCGGAUUAGCUAGUUGGUGAGGUAAAGGCUCACCAAGGCGACGAUCCGUAGCUGGUUUGAGAGGACGACCAGCCACACUGGGACUGAGACACGGCCCAGACUCCUACGGGAGGCAGCAGUGGGGAAGUUUGGACGAUGGGGGCAACCCUGAUCCAGCCAUUCCGCGUGUGCGAUGAAGGCCUUCGGGUUGUAAAGCACUUUUGGCAGGAAAGAAAUCGCACGGAUUAAUACUCUGUGUGGAUGACGGUACCUGCAGAAUAAGCACCGGCUAACUACGUGCCAGCCGCCGCCGUAA